GACCCUUUCGGGUUAUAUGGUCAAGCGAUGAAGCGCAUACGGUGGAUGCCUUGGCAGCCAGAGGCGAUGAAAGACGUGGAAGCCUGCGAUAAGGCUCGGCGAGGUGGCAAACGACCUGUGACCCGGGCAUUUCUGAAUGGGGAAACCCACCCUGCUUGCAGGGUAUCGCAUCCUGAAUCCAUAGGGAUGCGAGGCGAACCGGGGGAACUGAAACAUCUCAGUACCCCGAGGAAAAGAAAUCAACCGAGAUUCCCCCAGUAGCGGCGAGCGACCGGGGACUAGCCCUUAAGCGGCAGACUGAUUAGGCGAACGAUCUGGGAAGGUCGACCAUAGCGGGUGAUAGUCCCGUAGCCGAAAAUCUGAUGGCGUGAAAUCGAGUAGGUCGGGGCACGUGAAACCCUGACUGAACAUGGGGGGACCAUCCUCCAAGGCUAAAUACUCCUGGCUGACCGAUAGUGAACCAGUACCGUGAGGGAAAGGCGAAAAGAACCCCGGCGAGGGGAGUGAAAUAGAUCCUGAAACCGUAUGCGUACAAGCAGUGGGAGCCUGUCUUCGGACGGGUGACUGCGUACCUUUUGUAUAAUGGGUCAGCGACUUAUUUUCAGUGGCGAGCUUAACCGAAUAGGGGAGGCGUAGGGAAACCGAGUCUUAACUGGGCGACCAGUCGCUGGGAAUAGACCCGAAACCGGGCGAUCUAUCCAUGAGCAGGGUGAAGGUUGAGUAACAUCAACUGGAGGCCCGAACCAGGAUCUGUUGAAAAAGAUUUGGAUGACUUGUGGAUCGGAGUGAAAGGCUAAUCAAGCCCGGAGAUAGCUGGUUCUCCUCGAAAGCUAUUUAGGUAGCGCCUCACGUAUCACCACCGGGGGUAGAGCACUGUUUCGGCUAGGGGGCCAUCCCGGCUUACCAACCCGAGGCAAACUCCGAAUACCGGUGAGUGGAGCGUGGGAGACACACGGCGGGUGCUAACGUCCGUCGUGAAAAGGGAAACAACCCAGACCGUCAGCUAAGGCCCCAAAAUCCUGGUUAAGUGGGAAACGAUGUGGGAAGGCUUAGACAGCUAGGAGGUUGGCUUAGAAGCAGCCAUCCUUUAAAGAAAGCGUAAUAGCUCACUAGUCGAGUCGGCCUGCGCGGAAGAUGUAACGGGGCUCAAACCAGGUGCCGAAGCUACGGGUACGUCGCAAGACGUGCGGUAGAGGAGCGUCGUGUACGCCGACGAAGGUGGAUCGAGAGGUCUGCUGGAGG
rnacentral:rRNA from 1 species